rnacentral:rRNA from 1 species
AACGCGAAGAACCUUACCAGGGUUGGACAUGGGCAGGAAGUCCUCUGAGAGGAGGGUCCCUUCGGGGUCUGUCCACAGGUGCUGCAUGGCUGUCGUCAGCUCGUGUCGUGAGAUGUUGGGUUAAGUCCCGCAACGAGCGCAACCCUUAUCCCUAGUUGCCAUCGGGUCAAGCCGGGCACUCUAGUGAAACUGCCUCGGAUAACGAGGAGGAAGGUGGGGAUGACGUCAAGUCCUCAUGGCCUUUAUGUCCAGGGCUACACACGUGCUACAAUGGUCGGUACAAACCGUCGCAAACCCGUGAGGGGGAGCUAAUCGGAAAAAGCCGGCCUCAGUUCGGAUUGGAGUCUGCAACUCGACUCCAUGAAGCUGGAAUCGCUAGUAAUCGCGGAUCAGAACGCCGCGGUGAAUACGUUCCCGGGCCUUGUACACACCGCACUACUA